rfam:Rhizoctonia solani 123E scf_66, whole genome shotgun sequence.
GGCCGCCUGGCGAAAUGGUAUCGCGUCUGACUACGAGUCGUAUUGAUCAGGAGAUUGCAGGUUCGAGCCCUGCGGUGGUCA